rnacentral:rRNA from 1 species
GACAGAGGUGCCAAGCGUUAGGCGGAAUCAUUGGGCGUAAAGCGCGUGUAGGCGGUCCGGUAAGUCCGCUGUGAAAGUCGGGGGCUCAACCCUCGGAUGCCGGUGGAUACUGUCGGGCUUGAGUACGGAAGAGGCGAGUGGAAUUCCUGGUGCAGCGGUGAAAUGCGCAGAUAUCAGGAGGAACACCAAUUGCGAAGGCAGCUCGCUGGGACGUUACUGACGCUGAGACGCGAAAGCGUGGGGAGCAAACAGG